rnacentral:rRNA from 1 species
UACGUAGGGUGCGAGCGUUGUCCGGAAUUAUUGGACGUAAAGAGCUUGUAGGCGGUUUGUCGCGUCUGCUGUGAAAUUUCGGGGCUCAACCCCGAACUUGCAGUGGGUACGGGCAGACUAGAGUGUGGUAGGGGAGACUGGAAUUCCUGGUGUAGCGGUGAAAUGCGCAGAUAUCAGGAGGAACACCGAUGGCGAAGGCAGGUCUCUGGGCCACUACUGACGCUGAGAAGCGAAAGCAUGGGGAGCGAACAGG